rnacentral:rRNA from 1 species
GACGAACGCUGGCGGCGUGCUUAACACAUGCAAGUCGAACGGAAAGGCCCUGCUUUCGUGGGGUGCUCGAGUGGCGAACGGGUGAGUAACACGUGAGUAACCUGCCCUUGACUUUGGGAUAACUUCAGGAAACUGGGGCUAAUACCGGAUAGGAGCUCCUGCUGCAUGGUGGGGGUUGGAAAGUUUCGGCGGUUGGGGAUGGACUCGCGGCUUAUCAGCUUGUUGGUGGGGUAGUGGCUUACCAAGGCUUUGACGGGUAGCCGGCCUGGGAGGGUGACCGGCCACAUUGGGCCUGCGAUACGCACCAGACUCCUACGGGAGGCAGCAGUGGGGAAUAUUGCCCAAUGGGCGGAAGCCUGAUGCAGCAACGCCGGGUGCGGGAUGACGGCCUUCGGGUUGUAAACCGCUUUCGCCUGUGACGAAGCGUGAGUGACGGUAAUGGGUGAAGAAGCACCGGCUAACUACGUG